CUUCCUCAGUUACCCGCUGGUUAAGCAAAGUUCCUUCUUGGCUUACUACUUUUGCACCAGCAGAUGCUCUCACCAUGAAAGAGGAAGCCUGGAAUGCAUUCUCAGAAUGCAAAUCAGGUUACCGGUUUAAAUUUGUUGCUCGAGGUGAUUUUUUCUUAACUGCCUCAGCAGACAAGGUAAGCAUUUGCUUUCCAAAUUUGUAGUUAUGAAUCAUGAAUGUUGACAUGCACCAGUUGUUCUUAAGAAAAGGAAACUCUUUUUUUUUCAGAAAUUUAUUGUUAUGUUUUUUUGGACAAUAAUAUUUCCUUGACCAUCAGAUUAAGUGUGUAUGGGUGAUUUUGCAAAUCUUCUUGACCAUUUGAUUAAAUAUAUGUAGAGAACCUGAAUUGCAAAUAUUAAUUUGGGUGCAACCCAGAGGAAAUCAUUAGGUAUUGGUUUAAGCUCUGAUGUCAUUUUAAGCUGCAAGUGAAGAUUUAAGCAUUAUUAUCAAAGGUAAGUACUCUAUGUCUAACACAGUUCUACCAAAUUUUUGAUCCAAUCCAAAAUUAAUU